rnacentral:rRNA from 1 species
UUCCGUAGGUGAACCUGCGGAAGGAUCAUUACCGAGUGCGGGUCCUUUGGGCCCAACCUCCCAUCCGUGUCUAUUAUACCCUGUUGCUUCGGCGGGCCCGCCGCUUGUCGGCCGCCGGGGGGGCGCCUUUGCCCCCCGGGCCCGUGCCCGCCGGAGACCCCAACACGAACACUGUCUGAAAGCGUGCAGUCUGAGUUGAUUGAAUGCAAUCAGUUAAAACUUUCAACAAUGGAUCUCUUGGUUCCGGCAUCGAUGAAGAACGCAGCGAAAUGCGAUAACUAAUGUGAAUUGCAGAAUUCAGUGAAUCAUCGAGUCUUUGAACGCACAUUGCGCCCCCUGGUAUUCCGGGGGGCAUGCCUGUCCGAGCGUCAUUGCUGCCCUCAAGCCCGGCUUGUGUGUUGGGUCGCCGUCCCCCUCUCCGGGGGGACGGGCCCGAAAGGCAGCGGCGGCACCGCGUCCGAUCCUCGAGCGUAUGGGGCUUUGUCACAUGCUCUGUAGGAUUGGCCGGCGCCUGCCGACGUUUUCCAAC